rnacentral:rRNA from 1 species
AUUGAACGCUGGCGGCAGGCCUAACACAUGCAAGUCGAACGAGUGGCGGACGGGUGAGUAAUGUCUGGGAAACUUCCUGAUGGAGGGGGAUAACUACUGGAAACGGUAGCUAAUACCGCAUACCAUCGGAUGUUCCCAGAUGGGAUUAGCUAGUAGGUGGGGUAAAGGCUCACCUAGGCGACGAUCCCUAGCUGGUCUGAGAGGAUGACCGGCCACACUGGAACUGAGACACGGUCCAGACUCCGACGGGAGUCAGCAGUGGGGAAUAUGGCACAAUGGGCGCAAGCCUGAUGCAGCCAUGCCGCGUGUAUGAAGAAGGCCUUCGGGUUGUAAAGUACUUUCAGCGAGGAGGCGUUACUCGCAGAAGAAGCACCGGCUAACGCCGUGCCAGCCGCCGCGGUAAUAG